rnacentral:rRNA from 1 species
GAUGAACGCUGGCGGCGUGCCUAAUACAUGCAAGUCGAGCGAACAGACGAGGAGCUUGCUCUCCUAACGUUAGCGGCGGACGGGCGAGUAACACGUGGAUAACCUACCUAUAAGUCUGGGAUAACUUCGGGAAACCGGAGCUAAUAACGGAUAAUAUAUUGUACCGCAUGGUUCAAUAGUGAAUGACGGUUUUGCCGUCUCUUAUAGCUGGAUCCGCGUCGCAUUAGCUAGUUGGUAAGGUAACGGCUUACCAAGGCUACGAUGCGUAGCUGACCUGAGAGGGUGAUCAGCCACACUGGAACUGAGACACGGUCCAGACUCCUACGGGAGGCAGCAGUAGGGAAUCUUCCGCAAUGGGCGAAAGCCUGACGGAGCAACACCGCGUGGGUGAUGAAGGUCUUCGGAUCGUAAAGCUCUGUUAUUGGGAAAGAAAAAAUGUGUAAUUAACUAUGCACGUCUUGACGGUACCUAAACAGAAAGCCACGGCUAACUACGUG